rnacentral:rRNA from 1 species
AACGAACGCUGGUGGCGUGUCUUAUACAUGCAAGUCGAACGAGAAUCCGGUGCUUGCACCGGAGGAAAGUGGCGGACGGGUGAGUAAUAUGUAGAGAAUCUGCCCUUUAGUGGGGGACAACAGAGGGAAACUUCUGCUAAUACCCCAUAUGCGCGUAGUUGGGAUACUAUUCGUGAAAGAUUUAUCGCUAAAGGAUGAGUCUGCAUCUGAUUAGCUAGUUGGGGGUGUAAUGGACCACCAAGGCGACGAUCAGUAGCUGGUUUGAGAGGAUGAUCAGCCACAAUGGGACUGAGACACGGCCCAUACUCC